GCUCACGUGGCGGCGGCGGUGGGAGGCUGCGGAGCGGCCCCGGGCAGCUGCCUCGUGGGGGAGGGGGCCGGGUCUGCCGAGGCUGCUGUUGAGAGCUGGGUGGUGGGGGAGCGGCCAGAGGUGCCCGGGCUGUCUCGGGGACGGGGCUAAAGGGGGACCCCAGGGAACGAGGGGAGUGAAGCAGGGCGCCCCCAGGCCGGCCACCGGGCUCCUUCAGCUCGUAGGACGUGCUCGCUCCGGCGCAGGGCGGUAUCGCCCCUUGCUGUGGGGGGGCUGCCCCUCACCUCCCUCUCGCCUGUUUCUGCUGAGUCCCGGGUAGCCUCACGCCUCGCUAUCACCGUCAGCCAGAUAGUCCCUCACGUGUCGCUAUCCUCAUCUCCAGGCUCUGCUAGCCACCUUUGUGCGGUCAGGAUUGGGUAUUGCCUAAUUAUUCCAGAACAGAGUUUGGAAUUCACUUCCUAGCUGCAAUAUGCCACAAAGCGUUACAGAAAAAUCACUUCAGCAUCCUGUUGAUAGUGAUCACUGUCAUUGUUAUAUUGCAUGAAAUGUAUGCACAGAACAGGGCCUAAUGGUCAGACUGCGAAUUAGAAUGGG